GACGGAGGAUGCAAGCGUUAUCCGGAAUUAUUGGGCGUAAAGCGUCCGCAGGUGGACAUACAAGUCUGCUGUCAAAGUGCAGAGCUUAACUCUGUAAAGGCGGUGGAAACUGUAGGUCUUGAGUAUGGUAGGGGUAGAGGGAAUUCCCGGUGUAGCGGUGAAGUGCGUAGAUAUCGGGAAGAACACCAGUGGCGAAAGCGCUCUACUGGGCCAUAACUGACACUGAGGGACGAAAGCUAGGGGAGCGAAAGGG
rnacentral:rRNA from 1 species